rnacentral:lncRNA from 1 species
CUAAAUAAACCCAAAACCUAACUCCUAAGUCUCAUGUUACGGUUCAAAAAUAAAUAAUACAAUCUUUUAAAGAAAAUGAAGAAUAUUAAUGAAACUCUAAAAUAUUAAGAAAAACGAAACUAAGUUGAGUCCCUCCGGAUGUCGCAUUUACAUCCUAACCUGGUGGGUUAUCUAAAAGGAAGAAAAUAAAAUGAGGGUGAGCUAUGAAGUUCAAUGUGAGUCCAUUCGUAAGAAAAUCAGUGCAAACAACUUGUAGGACACAUUAAAUAAUAUCGCAUAAUAUAAUCAUAAUUAAACAACAGUUCAGAGUAUCGAUUUUUCAAUGCAACCAUCAUUAACAAAUAUCGGAACUCACAAUAGCAGAUAACAGAAUAACCAAAUUCCAUAUUUUCCCACAUUAUACAUAGAUAUCCAUGCAUAACUAUAACAUAACAGAAUUUCCAAAGUUGUAUGCACAUGAUUUUGAAGAUGCCAUACAAUUUUGGUUUAACAGAAAAGAUCCUACCCCACCACUGCACACCACAAUGGGAGUUCCCCUAAACUCCCUUCUCUGAUACACCGGGAUGUGGAUAAACCACUAUUGAUUUGCAGAUAAUAACUAUCAUUUGGAUGUGGACACACAAUAAGUUCCUGCAGUUAGAAUCUGCUUCUGGCUGUGGGCUUACAGCAAAAAGCCCUACAGAUGAAAUAUGCUUUUGACUAUAGAUUUUACAGCAUAAACCUGCUGUUGGAAUAUGCCUUUGGCUGUGGAUACACAGCAAUACUUGCAGAAGAAAUUUGCCUUCGACUGUGGGUGCACAACAAAACUUAUUAUUGUAGAUAAACUGCCAGACUUCCUCCGAUCACAUCAUCCCAUCCCAUACAAUGCAAUGCGACAUAUUUAAUACAAAUCAUAUAUGGUAGCAUUUAAUGUACAUGGAAAAUCAGUAGCAAAAUCAUACUUUUCAUGUAUUCAAAUUAACACUACUCUAGGGCAUGUCAUUCAUAUGAUUGCAAGUAUAUAGAUACAACAGUCAUAUAUACUAUUCAUAGUUUAUGCAUGUAUAUAUAUGUUAUUAAUUUAAUCAAGCAAGGCAUGUAUUCUAACAUGUUUUAUGUUAUCAGAGGCUUAAUUGCACAAAUUAAACAUUAAAACGGUUCAAUCAUCAAACAGGGACUAAUCUAAAUAAAUCAUAAAAAAUUUAGGUCAAAAUUGUAAAUUUUGUAAAGUAGGGGACAAAAUUAUAAAAUCUAAAAAAUAGGGGAAAAAUUUUAAAAUCUAAAAAAUAAGGGCAAAACCAUAAAUUUUAAAAACAAGGGACACACGGCCAUGUGAUAGGCCGUGUGAAGGGUCCUAUAUCGUGUGAGAAUUGAAAAACCUAGGGUUUCAAGGGGACAUGAUUGUGUGGGGGUUAUGUGGUCCACAUGGGUGGCCCACAUACCCGUGCAACCCUAUUUUGGGGCAUAGUUUGCCCUGAUUUGCUUGUAAAAGAACACAUACCUAUUACCGGAGUCUCGAGCGAUGUCCUUUACGUUCAAAUCUGAUCCAGAGUACCUAAAUCGAGUCCUUCAAACGACAUUUAUAUACAAGUUAACAAUCGAUUUCGAGAUUCGUCAAAAUUAAUCAAGAUUAUCAAAAGAUUUGUUAAGAAUUGUGAUAGAUUGACUAAUUGAUUUGAAAGAUUAACAUUGAAUAGAAAUUCUAUCAAAUUUGGGGUCUAGAUUUUAGAAUGGGAUGUACUUACCAAACUUGAUAGAAUUACGGAGGCUAUCAACGAUGAUUUCAAUAAUCAGUAGAGAAUUGAUUUAUCGAGGAUUGGUUUGAUAUCGAGAGUAAAAAUUUUAGCAAUAGAAUAACCAAUUUGAUGAAAAGAAAAGGGGGAGAAAAGAAAGGAAAAUUUAAAAGGAAAAGAGAGAGAAUUCAAAUGAAUUAGAAAAGAUAUCAAAACCCUAGGGUAAUUAGGAUAAGAUGAACUAAAUACUUAGGGUUUUCAAAUUUUAAGGGUUGCACGGUAAAUUACCCAAUUUUGGUCAAAAAUAAAAUGGAAAUAGGGGUUUGGCAUGACUUGAACCUAAUUUGCAAAGGAGAAAGUGUAAAGACUUCACCAUUUGAGCUACUACUCAGUCUUGUUAUGUUUUCACUCUAAAUAUUAUUUAUUCUAAUUUGAUUUUCAUCCUAGGUUGCUGAAAAUAAAAAGAGAAAAAUGGAAUAGGUAUGGUUUAAACCUUGGACCUCUAAGAAAUAUAUAAGUUAUUUAACCAUCAAGCCUAAAGUUUAUUUCUUAUUUAUUUAUUUAUUACAACUAACCUCCUAUAUUUUGAGGCAUGACAUUUAUAUAUUUUGGGGUGUGACAUUUAUCACCUAAUAAGAGUUAUUAAUUAUAAAUUCCAGUUGAUUGAAUUAUAAAUGUAACAACCCGUUGUCGAUGGUGUUGGAAACUGUAGUUUCGAGACCACAAUUCCAACAAGUGAGUAAAUAUUUUAAUAUUUAUUAAGGUCUAUGGGGUUAAAUUAGAGUCGUACUAAAAUUUCUUAACGAAAUUUUGAAGUUUAAUUGGUUAAUUAGUUAAAAAUGACUAAACUAAAAAAGAUUCAAAAGAUGGUUUCUAUUAAUUACAUGGAUUAAAUGGCUUUAGGAGUAUUUAUUAAUGGGUUUUUAUGGUAAUUAUGUCAUUCAUAAAUGUGGUGGACAAUGAUGGACAUGAUUUGGUUAUUUUAUAAGUUUAUUGGCUAAAGGUAAAAUUGUAAUUAAUUAAAUAAACCUAAAAUAAAUCACUAAAAUGAUAUAUUAAUCUUCUUCCUUUUUGCUUGUUUCAACAAAAAAUACCAUUGAAGAAGGGAUUUGAAGUUUCGACUAGACUUGUUUCAUUGCAUGGUAUGUGUUUGAGUCUCGUUUUUAAUAAUUUUUAUGUUUUUGAACUCGUUUUAGCUUAAUCUACUUAGCCCGGGAAUUAAUUUGUAAAACUGUUAAAGGUUAGAGGUUUUUCCAUGAACGAAAUUGAUGUGUUUGUGAUAAUAGGUGUAAGAUAAUUAAAUUUGGUUGUUAAAUGACUAUAAAUUGUUAAAUGGAUUUUUAUGAAUGUAAGGUUUAGGGAUUAAAUUAUUGAAUUAAAAAUUUUCAUGUAUAUUGUAUGAAAUAAUGGAAAAAUGUAGAUUAUUUAAGCUUAGGGAAGAAUCGGUUAUCAUGGGUUUAGGUUAAAAAUGGUUAAAUUUUAAGUUAUAAGUUUAAGGACUAAGUUGUGAAAAGUUAAAAUAGGUGGGGUAAUUUAAUAAUUUCAUGAUAAUAUGAAUUAUAGAUUUAAUUGAAUAAUUGAGGUUAUUUAAGGUACUUAAUUGAAUGAAAUUAUUAUUUAGAUCAAGAUACGCAACAACCGGACUUUAAUCGAGGCAAAAUUAAUGUGUUGGAUUAGUUUUUGACUUUGUUAAAACGAUCGUGGUAGCGAGGUAAGCUCUUAUGAAUUAUAAUCUGAUUAAUUAUAGCUUGAUUUGAUUAUUUGUUAUAAUAUGUUGAAUAUAAAUUAGACUCGGAUAUAUCACGAUGUUUUGAACAAUUGAUGGUUAAGUAAUCCUGUUUGAAUUUUAAGAAUUUUUAGGAUACAAAUGACAUGUCAUUAGGAUUAUACAAUUUCAGGUGCUGGUCUUGAAUGUCCUACCGAUAGCUAUGGUCCUGCAUUUCUUGCAGAUUAUCACAACUCGUGUGAGCAGCACUGUGUAGCAAACAUUCUGACCCACAACUUGUGUGAGUAGACCCAUUUUAUAACUUGUGUGAGCUCUAAUGAAAAUGAAAUAUUAUGAUUACAUGAAAAGGCACACUAUGUGUGAGUAUUCCUGGGUAUCCGAUGUAAUUCUAGAUGGUUUAACGGGUAAGAAAAGAAUGAAGGAAAAGCAUAUAUAAUAACCUAUUAAUGCUAAUGUUCAUUUGAAAAGGUAAAAUAGGUAUGAAUUUAUGAAAUGUAAUGAAAAAGAAAGGUAUGGAAUUUAUUUCCUAGUAUAUGAGAUGCUAUGUUUUCAUGAUUUCUACUAACCAUUUGAAUUAUGGUGCAUAGGAAAGUUUAAUGUUAAAUGAUGAAAUGAGCAUGGUUGUACGGAUUGUUAAUUGAUGUUCAAUAAGUUGAAGUUUAUCUUUUACGAACUUACUAAGCAUUAAAUGCUUAUGUGGUUAUUUUUCCUUUGUUUUGUAGAUCAUCGGAAGCUCAAUUGGUUGAAACUUUGUCGGAGUCCUAUCACACUAUCCUUCGAUCACUUUGGUAGUUUUGGGUUAUUUUGAUCUAUGGUUAUAAAUGGCAUGUAUAGGGUUUAAUGUCAUUUAUACUUUUAUUGUGUUUUGGUUACUUUUGUAAAUGGUUAUAUACAUAUAUGGUAUAGUUGGCUUGUACAUGUUAAAAGCUAUAUGAAUAUGGUCAUUUUUGAUAUGUUUAAUUUGAAUGGUGAAAUUGAUUGACAAUUGUUGUCAUUAGGUAGCUAUUUUACCUAUGUUUUGUGUUUGAGAUGUAGCAUUAUAGUUUUGUUCUUAAUUGAUUUUGUUAUGGUAUAAAAUGAGGUGCCUUUGAAUGGCAUAUUGGUUAUAAGAUUUAGGUUGAUUGAAUUGGUAUGUUUAUGAAUAUCUAAAGUGUGUUUAGGUCCAUUGAAUGUAUGUACAAAUGGAGUAGCUUGUUGGGCAAGGUUUGGUUUUGAAAUGACUUGUUUUAUGAGCUAAUUAUGGAGCACACGGCCUAGGACACGAGCUGUCACACGGUCGUGUGUCUUAAAAAAUUUGGGUGCAGGUUGGUCCACACGGGCACAGAGAGUUACACGGCCUGGCGACACGGCUGUGUGACCUUAAGCCAUAUAGUCACAGAGAGUUAUACGGACGUGUUGAGUAGUCACACGAGCGUGUGGAUAGCCACACGGUCAUGUUUGGAGUCACACGGUCUAAGCUAUACCACACGGCCUGGCCACACGGUCGUGUGACCCCUGUUUUCACAAAUUUUCAUUUUUUUCUCAAAAUUUUCUGAUUUAUUCAAGUUGAUCCUCGAUUACUUCAAACUUAUUAUUAGGACCCCGAAUGCUCGGUUUAAGGCCCAAAUGAGUAUUAUUUCCAUGAUUAAAUUGUGUAAUUGUUAUUUACUUUGUAAGUUGAAUUAUUAUUCUGUAUUGAAGUUAAACGUUCUGCUUUGUACGAUAAUGCUUCGUAACCCUAAUUCGGUGACGGAGACAGGUUAGGAGUGUUACAAUAAAACUGUUCUUGUAGGUGGUAUCCUUCCGAGAGACAAUGAUCUAUGUUCAAGCUAGUAAAUGUGAUUUAUAGAAUUUUAAAAUAUUAAAAUUUCUAAUAUUUUUAGCAAAUUUUUAUAUAUUUUUUAAUUUUAUGAUUUUCUUUUCUAUUUUUCAUAUUUUUAAUAAUUUUUUAAUUUUUUAAAUAUUUUUUGGUAUUUUUUUUAUUUUUUUCAUAUUUUAAAAAGAUUUUUUAAGUUCUUUUAUAUCACGACAUGUGGUGGCAUAUGAUUGAUUGAAUAUCUCAGUUGUUAGUUUUUAAUGUCCAAAGGAUUGAAUUUGAAACACCUGAUGACUUUAGGGACUGAAGUGAACCAAAAUAAACUUUAAAGACCAAAGUAAAAAAAAAAAAAGGGUAUACUUCAUGGACUAAAGGGUGCAUUAAGCCUAUAUUAAGCGGCAGGGCUGGACUUGUACUUUAGAGGUCAAAGAAACAGGUCUAAGGCUUUUGCUACACGGGGAAUUUGAAUCUUAGAGACUAAUCUAAAUAUAUAUAUACAACAUCCCUGUUUCCCAAAAUUAAAGGCAUUAAACACAGGGUGAAGCGUUCAAGAGAGCCAAUGAGAAAGAGCAUCUAACCUGUGGGAAGCUUCCAACAACAAAAGAACAUAUUGUUCUUAGUUUUUAUCUAUUGAAUUGCCACAACAAGAGCUAUCCGACAGUUUGCAGUAGUUGAGUUCAGCUUUUUCUAGUAUCAAGUUCAGUUCAUUCACAGCUUUUCAAAACCCUUCGCUAUUCACUUAGAUUUCCUUGACCCGUUUUUUUUGUAUUGGCAAUUGCCUAGAUUUGUCAUCUUUACGGAAGGCUCUUACAUCUUUUCAAACCAGAAGCAAAACCCCAAUUUGUGAAAAC